rnacentral:rRNA from 1 species
GACGUAGGGGGCAAGCGUUGUCCGGAAUUAUUGGGCGUAAAGAGCGUGUAGGCGGCCAGAUAAGUCCGCUGUGAAAUCUCGAGGCUCAACUUCGAGCUGUCGGUGGAAACUAUCUGGCUAGAGUCCGGAAGAGGAGAAUGGAAUUCCUGGUGUAGCGGUGAAAUGCGCAGAUAUCAGGAGGAACACCAAUAGCGAAGGCAGCUUGCUGGGACGGUACUGACGCUGAGGAGCGAAAGCGUGGGGAGCGAACAGG